rnacentral:rRNA from 1 species
AUUACUCCUACGGGAGGCAGCAGUCGGGAAUUUUGGGCAAUGGGCGCAAGCCUGAUCCAGCAAUGCCGCGUGUGUGAAGAAGGUCUUCGGAUCGUAAAGCACUUUCGGCGGGGACGAUGAUGACGGUACCCGCAGAAGAAGCCCCGGCUAACUUCGUGCCAGCAGCCGCGGUAAUAAU